CCUACGGGAGGCAGCAGUGGGGGAUAUUGCACAAUGGGGGAAACCCUGAUGCAGCGACGCCGCGUGGGCGAAGAAGUAUUUCGGUAUGUAAAGCCCUAUCAGCAGGGAAGAAGAAAUGACGGUACCUGAGUAAGAAGCACCGGCUAAAUACGUGCCAGCAGCCGCGGUAAUACGUAUGGUGCAAGCGUUAUCCGGAUUUACUGGGUGGAAAGGGAGCGCAGGCGGCACGGCAAGCCUGAUGUGAAAGCGCGCGGCCCAACCGCGGGACUGCAUUGGGAACUACCGGGCUGGAGUGCCGGAGAGGUAGGCGGAAUUCCUAGUGUAGCGGUGAAAUGCGUAGAUAUUAGGAGGAACACCAGUGGCGAAGGCGGCCUACUGGACGGUGACUGACGCUGAGGCUCGAAAGCGUGGGGAGCAAACAGGAUUAGAUACCCGGGUAGUC
rnacentral:rRNA from 1 species